GAUGAACGCUGGCGGCGUGCUUAACACAUGCAAGUCGAACGGAAAGGCCCGGCGUUUGUGGGGUGCACGAGUGGCGAACGGGGGAGUAACACGUGAGUAAACUGUCCCUGAAUUUGGGAGAACUUCAGGAAACUGGGGCGAAUACAGGAGAGGAGCUACUGCAGCACGGGGGGGGUUGGAAAGAUUCGGCGGUUGGGGAUGGACUCGCGGCUUAUCAGCUUGUUGGUGGGGUAGUGGCUGACAAAGGCUUUGAAGGGUAGCCGGCCUUAGAGCGUGACCGGCCUCCUUACGACUGCGGGACGCCCCAGUCUCCUACGGUAGGCAGCAGUCGAGAAUCUUGCACAGUGAGCGCGAGCCUGAUGCGGCAGCGCCGCGUGCGGGAUGACGGCCUUCGGGUUAUGAACCGCUUUCGCCCUUGCCGUACCGUGCGUGACGGUAAUGGGUCAAGAAGCACCGGCUAACUACGUG
rnacentral:rRNA from 1 species